rnacentral:tRNA from 1 species
GGGCCUCGAGCUCAGUUGGAUAGGGCAGAGGACUCAUAAUCCUUUGGUCGGUGGUUCGAGUCCACCUGGGCCCACCA